AACGAACGCUGGCGGCGUGGAUGAGGCAUGCAAGUCGAGCGAGAUCCGCGGGGGCAACUCUGCGGUGACAGCGGCGAACGGGUGAGCAAUACUUGAGCAAUCUACCCUGAAGACCGGAAUAGCUUCUGGAAACGGAAAGUAAUACCGGAUGUUGUCGCCCCGCGAUGCGGGGCCGUCCAAAGGCAGGGACCCGCAAGGGCCUGUCACUUCGGGAUGAGCUCAAGUCCUAUCAGCUAGUUGGUGGGGUAACGGCCCACCAAGGCUUAGACGGGUAGCUGGUCUGAGAGGAUGGUCAGCCACACUGGGACUGAGACACUGCCCAGACUCCUACGGGAGGCUGCAGUCGAGGAUCUUUCACAAUGCGCGAAAGCGUGAUGAUGCGACGCCGCGUGGAGGAUGAAGGCCUUCGGGUUGUAAACUCCUGUCAUGAGGGAUGAAAUGUGGGGAUGCUAACAGUAUCCUCACUUGACGGUACCUCAAGAGGAAGCCACGGCUAACUCUGUGCCAGCAGCCGCGGUAAUACAGAGGUGGCAAGCGUUGUUCGGAUUUACUGGGCGUAAAGGGUGCGUAGGCGGCCUUGUGUGUCAGGUGUGAAAUCCCACGGCUCACCCGUGGAAAUGCACUUGAAACUGCAGGGAUCGAGUUCAGGAGAGGUAAGCGGAAUUCUUGGUGUAGCAGUGAAAUGCGUAGAUAUCAAGAGGAACACCGGUGGCGAAGGCGGCUUACUGGACUGAUACUGACGCUGAGGCACGAAAGCCAGGGUAGCAAAAAGGAUUAGAUACCCUUGUAGUCCUGGCCGUAAACGGUGUGCACUUGGUGUGGGAGGACUUAUACCCCUUCCGUGCCGUAGCUAACGUGAUAAGUGCACCGCCUGGGGAGUACGGUCGCAAGAUUAAAACUCAAAGGAAUUGACGGGGGCCCGCACAAGCGGUGGAGCAUGUGGCUUAAUUCGAUGCAACGCGAAGAACCUUACCUGGGUUUGACAUGGGAGCCCUUCGGGGUUAAUCCGGUGAAAGCCGGAUGCGUCCACACAGGUGCUGCAUGGCUGUCGUCAGCUCGUGCCGUGAGGUGUUGGGUUAAGUCCCGCAACGAGCGCAACCCUUGUGAUUAGUUGCCAUCAGGCCUUCGGGCGCUGGGCACUCUAGUCAGACUGCCCGUGAUAAGCGGGAGGAAGGUGGGGAUGACGUCAAGUCCGUAUGGCCCUUAUAUCCAGGGCUGCACACGUGCUACAAUGGUCGGUACAAUGGGAUGCUUGACCGCGAGGUUUGGCUGAUCCUGAAAACCGACCCCAGUUCAGAUUGCAGUCUGCAACUCGACUGCAUGAAGCCGGAAUCGCUAGUAAUGGUACAUCAGCUACGGUACCGUGAAUACGUUCCCGGGCCUUGUACACACCGCCCGUCACAUCAUGAAAGCCCGCUGCACCCGAAGUAACUGUUCCGACCCGCAAGGGGGGUAGGUUCCUAAGGUGUGGCUGGUGAUUGGGAUG
rnacentral:rRNA from 1 species